GAGUUUGAUCGUGGCUCAGGACGAACGCUGGCGGCGUGCUUAACACAUGCAAGUCGAACGGUAAGGCUCCAGCUUGCUGGGGUACACGAGUGACGAACGGGUGGGUAACACGUGGGUGACCUGCCCUGCACUUCGGGAUAAGCCUGGGAAACUGGGUCUAAUACCGGAUAGGACCGCACCGUGAGGGUGUGGUGGAAAGUUUUUUCGGUGUGGGA
rnacentral:rRNA from 1 species